GUCAUGGCUGGCAGGAUGGGAAGGUCUCCUUUACAGAAAGGGGCUUGGAUAAGGAGGAAAGACCAUCAGAAGAAAAGAUAAGACACUGUCUUCUCAUUCCAGUAAGAGCCACAUGCAAGGCAAGAAUCAGAGUCCAGCUCAGAUGGGGGAACUCUAGGAAGAGAGAAAUCCAUUCCAUGGACAGCUGCCAAGAUAGAGCAGGACAGCAUCAAGGACAUGAGCCGAAAGUGCAAAAGGACUGCUUGACUUUGGAAAAGAAACCAAAGGCCUCUCUGACACUGUACACAUCAGUGAAAUGAGGAGACCCAUGAUGCCUGCUGUGGGGGACCCCCAGAGGCCCACACCGGGCACAGCAAGCGGCCCAGAUCUCAGUCUCUAGGAGACCACCCACUGCCACUUCAGAAAAGCCUGGUGACCUCUCUGCACACUCCAUCUGAAGCCAUUUAUCACAACACAGCCCAGGUGUGGGAACAGUAGGCCUAUUCUCUGCUGACCUGGGAGCAGCUGUCUGAGCUCACCCUGGCUCCAGGGGGACUCUGUGCUAUGGUACAAACCUGUGCCGUGGCCGCCCAGAUGGCCUAUGUCUUUCCCACUGAGGGCUGGCUCAUCCCAGCCACACUCCCUGGUCCCUAGGAUCCGGCCCUGAAUGGAGAAGCUCAGAGCUCCUCCUAGGAAGAAAAUGGACCCACCCUUACCCUGGAGAGGAGAUAAAGGAGCCUGAUAGUGGAUCAAAUGAGGCUUUAGCUGGGGGCACCCAGACCCUAUUCAACAGAGGACACAGCUAUGAGAGUGAGAACAAAGACCUGCUACUUCUCAGGCAAUUUUAGACACACUGUGUUAAUACAUGACAAAACCAGGGACAGUCUUGGGAAAGGAGUUUGAACAAUAUCCUCAAAGUGGAAAAUGUUUCAUUUGAGUCUAAAACUACUGACAAAUUUUGUACUUCAUGUUAGACAUUUGAUGUUUUUGGAUGUUUUAUAACAGUCACACAUUUCUUUGUAAU
rnacentral:lncRNA from 10 species